AGAAGACGUGCUUGCCAUAAUGUAAUGAUGCCAAACUACAAGCUCAGUACACACCGCUAGACAGUGCCAACCUCUUGAAGACACUGAUAUGAGAUCUGCGAAGGUAUAAAAGUGAGAAGUUUUAAUGUAAAAAUAACCAACAUUCUAAUCUAAAUGGAAAAGGACAACCCAAAAUGAAAAAGGAAAGCAAGGAGAGAAAGAGCAGAUAUUGUUUUCCUUCAGGAGACCCACUUCACUGGUACACACUCUCGACUUCAAGGACCUGUCACAUAGAGCCGUUACAGUAUAAAGAGACGCCCAGCUGAGCAAUCGCAAAGGCAAAGCAACUGCAUGCUCAUUCCGAGCGCACAUCCUUCGAUAAUCGUCAGCUCGAUUAUAUCAAUGGCCAUGCGGCAUGGCAGCCUGAACAGAGAUGCCGAAGUGCAGAUGCACCUGGCGAAAUACUCCAAAAACGGUGGUGACAGACAUGCUUUUUUGCCAUCACUCCCUCGUCAACGCCCACAAACAGUACCUGACUGUUAAUCACUCUACAUAAAGAAUGAAAGUGUAGAAUUCUCUUCAUUGAUUGCGCUUUUUUUUUUACAUAUUAUUCUUCGUUCUUUGGUGUUUUCA